rnacentral:rRNA from 1 species
GACGAACCGAGCGAACGUUGUUCGGAAUCACUGGGCUUAAAGGGCGCGUAGGCGGCCGAUCAAGUCGGGGGUGAAAGCCUGUGGCUCAACCACAGAAUUGCCUUCGAUACUGUUUGGCUUGAGACCGGAAGAGGUUAGUGGAACUGCGAGUGUAGAGGUGAAAUUCGUAGAUAUUGGGAAGAACACCGAUGGCGAAGGCAGCCAUCUGGACCGACACUGACGCUGAGGCGCGAAAGCGUGGGGAGCAAACAGG